rnacentral:lncRNA from 1 species
AGGGUUGCGGUGUUUCCGAUCUAUUUAGAGUUCGGAGUCUUUUAAGAGAUCUUUUUUGUACUCCGCCUUUUCGAUAUUAAUAAAUUAUUUGUUCCGUCUUCGUCCGUAGACGUAGACCGUUGACCGAACCACGUAAAUAUCGGUGUGUUCUUUCUUUAUCUUUUCUUUUCUUGCAUUAAAUUAUUUUCUGGAUCUAUUUCGCCGUUCCGAUUUUAACAUGAGCGUUACCGAGAAGACUUUCUUGGUUCAUACACAUCUUGAGUCAAUUGUAUUUAUAGUGUUGCCAUCAACUGAUAGUUCUCUUGGUAGUUAUUCUGCGCAUUGAAUAUUAGUUCUCGAGUUUGAAUCCCACUUCUUGUGGGUUUUCGCAAAACGACAAAAAAUAUUUAUGACAUUUCAUUUUGUAGUCAAUUAACUAACCACACAUAUGUCGACAUUGUUGGCUUAAAUAGGCCAGUAUCCUUGUCUUGUGGUGGGGGCCUAUGUUGGGUCCAGUCAUGUUCGAAAUGGAGUAGGCUGGAUUAGGCUGAGUUAUGUUUGAAGUGACGUGAGGCUGGUUCGGUCGAGUCACAAUUAAGACCCGUAGGUGCUUUAUUUGUACACUUUAAGUAAAGUAAUUACGUAUCUCUAACAGCUCGAGCUUUUGGGGUUAAUGGUUAGCACUGAUGAUUCAUCAAGUGGUAUCGGAACCAGAGGUCACGAGUUUAAUUUCCGCAUGGUACGAAUUUGUGCAGAUGCUGGAGAGGGGAUUGUAGGCUUAAAUGGGCCAGCAUUCUGUCCUGUGCCACAAAGUUAUGUUGGACUGAGUCAUGUUCGAAAUAGCGUAAGGUUGGUUAGCUCGAGUCACAAUCGAGACUCGUGGGCGAUGUGUCUGUAUGCUUUAAAUGAAUUGAUUGCGUAUUUCUAACAGUUCAAGUUUUUGGAGUUAAUGGUUAGUACCAACGAUCCGAUGAAAACAUCAAAAGGUUUUUCAUCUAUUAACUUAAGUAUU